AUUGAACGCUGGCGGCAGGCCUAACACAUGCAAGUCGAGCGGAGCGGCGGACGGGUGAGUAAUGCAUAGGAAUCUGCCAGGUAGUGGGGGAUAAAGUACGGAAACGGGCGCUAAUACCGCAUACUAUCAGGUGAGCCUAGGUCGGCUUAGCUAGUUGGUGGGGUAAAUGACUACCAAGGCGACGAUCCGUAACUGGUCUGAGAGGAUGAUCAGUCAACCGGGAACGUAGACCCUGUCCAGCCUCCUACGGGAGGCAGCAGUGGGUAAUAUUGGACAAUUGGCUAAUGCCUGAUCCAGCCAUGCCGCGUGUGUGAAGAAGGUCUUCGGAUUGUAAAGCACUGUAAGUUGGGAGGCGUUACCAACAGAAUAAGCACCGGCUAACUCCGUGCCAGCAGCCGCGGUAAUUC
rnacentral:rRNA from 1 species